GUUCAGAUCAGCCACCGCCGCCUCCGCCACUGUGCAUGCACAGGUGGCGGCUUCGGCCUCCUCCACGUCUCGCACAGCCGGCGCAGCUUCCCGGCGUCACUCCAGCCCCGGCCGCCGCCUCCUCGCCGAACUCCUGGAAGAUUUGUCAAGAUUUUAUUGAAAGUCAUAGAGGUGUGAGGCUGCCUACGUCGUCUCCGGGCUGCCGAGCUCGCUACCGAAAUCCGGCAGAUUCAUAGAGGUAUAAUCGGUUCAAGUUCAGGGCCGUCCGCGUUGAAGUACUCGUUUUCUUAGAAUGUGGGAUGUAUUAAAUUUUGUUGGACCUUUGUUGGAUGUAUCGAACAUUAGAAUUUUGAUUAUGGUACUUUAUUUAUAAAUUUAAAUUUAUUAUAUU